ACAAGACAUUCAGUGUGUACGUCAGUGGUUCAUCUUCAGAGGAUUCAGAUGCUAUGGCUGUAAUAAUUAUUUCUCUUCUUUUUGUUGCUGCUGCUGCUUUAAUAAUUUACUGUUCCCGAAGGUCCUCUAAAGAAAUAGCAAGGGACAUUUUUCCACAUUUGAGAGAUCCUGUUACUUUAUGCACUGGUGUUACUGACAUAAAGACCGAUGAUGAGAUACUGUGGACAUUUGGACCUGAAGACACUCGUAUCGUUCGAAUCACCGGAGGGAUCAAUGAGCCUUCAUAUUAUUACUACACUGAUGGGAGAUUCAGAGACAGACUGAAGAUGGACAAGUCAGACUGGAGAUCUCACCAUCACAAACACCACAACUCAACACAAUGGAGUUUAUCAAGUCCAGAUUUACAGCGGCGGAAAGAUCACAUACAAGGGAUAUAAGGUUACAACCUCUGGUGAGUAAUUGAGUAUUCAUUUUAAUCAUUCAAGGACUGAUUUUAAAUCUCAGUGUUUAUGAAGAAGUGUUGAAGAAG